rnacentral:rRNA from 1 species
UGCGUAGGUGGUCUUUUAAGUCAGAAGUGAAAGGCACUGGCUCAACCAAUGUAAGCUUUUGAAACUGAAAGACUUGAGUGCAGGAGAGGUAAGUGGAAUUCCUAGUGUAGCGGUGAAAUGCGUAGAUAUUAGGAGGAACACCAGUGGCGAAGGCGACUUACUGGACUGUUACUGACACUGAGGCACGAAAGCGUGGGGAGCGAACAGGAUUAGAUACCCUGGUAGUCC